AUUUGAAAGACGCCUGGGCGGGGACAAAUGUUCAUGUCCUAUCUAAAAUGGGUCCUUAUAAAAUGUUUUAUUGGGACAUUGCAAAGCUAGCACCAAAUCAACAGCUUAAGGUGAUCAAUGCCUACCUGAUGCACAUUGUUAAAAAGAGUAAUCAGCAGCAAAGAAGCAAACAGGCACUAUGCAUCGAUUCCUUUGAGAUGUCUAAUAUAUGGCAGGGGAAAACCACAAAACUGAAGUAUGCUGAGAAAAUUCUGUCAGGGGAGCCUCUGACUUUUUCCAGUUCAGCAUCGGCAGUUUUGAAAUACAGACAAGAGGUGGCAAUGACACUGAUUGAAGAAACAGAUGAUCUCAAAGAGCUAUGCCACUACUGCGGAGAAAGAAACAAUGGGAAAAGCAAACGUGGAAAAGGAGGAAAAGACAAGAAUGCACUACUGUCUGGGUAAGAAGUUGUUGAAUUAAGCAAAUUCUUUAUUCUGGUCCAGAUCUGCGUAUAAUGUUUGGGACAAAUCUAGUACAUACAGUCAUGUGGAAAAAAUUAGAGCACCCCAUAAGAACCUUUAUUUUUGACCAAACAUGGACAUUUAAUUUUCAAUUAAUACUAUAAUAUAACUAAACCAAUAAAACUGAAGGAAUAUCUUUUACA
rnacentral:lncRNA from 1 species